UACGAAGGGGGCUAGCGUUGUUCGGAAUUACUGGGCGUAAAGCGCAUGUAGGCGGCUUUCUAAGUCGGGGGUGAAAUCCCAGGGCUCAACCCUGGAACUGCCUUCGAUACUGGGGAGCUUGAGUGUGGAAGAGGUUGAUGGAACUGCAAGUGUAGAGGUGAAAUUCGUAGAUAUUUGCAAGAACACCAGUGGCGAAGGCGAUCAACUGGUCCAUUACUGACGCUGAGAUGCGAAAGCGUGGGGAGCAAACAGG
rnacentral:rRNA from 1 species